AAGCCACGAGUGAAACGUGGCAUACGGCUCAGUAACACGUGGCUAACCCACCCUUGGGACGGAGACAACCCCGGGAAACUGGGGACAAUCCCCGAUAAGCGAAGACGCUUGGAACGAGUCUUCACCCAAAAGGUGUUGAGGUCACGCUCCUUAACAUCGCCCAAGGACGGGGCCGCGACCGAUCAGUAUUGGUGAGGCAACGGCUCACCAAGCCUAUAACCGGUACGGGCCGUGGAAGCGGGAGCCCGGAGAUGGGAACUGAACAAGGUCCCAGCCCUACGGGGCGCACAGUCGCGCAAACUCCGCAAUGCACGAAAGUGUGACGGGGCUACCCCGAGUGCCGUCCGCUGAGGAUGGCUUUUCUCUGCUGUAAGGAAGCGGAGGAAUAAGGAGAGGGCAAGUCUGGUGUCAGCCGCCGCGGUAAUACCAGCUCUCCGAUGGUAGGAUGAUUAUUGGGCUUAAAGCGUCCGUAGCCGGCCUUUCAAGUCUUUCGUUAAAUCCAGCGGUUCAAUCGUUGGACUGCGGGAGAUACUGUUAGGCUAGGGGCGGGAGAAGCCGACGGUAUUUCCGGGGUAGGGUAAAAUCCUAUAAUCCCGGGAAGACCACCAGUGGCGUAGCGGUCGGCUACACGCGCUUGACGGUGAGGGACGAAAGCUGGGGGAGCGAACCGGAUUAGAUACCCGGGUAGUCCCAGCUGUAAACGAUGCGGGCUAGUGUUGGAGCGGCUACGAGCCGCUUCAGUGCCGCAGGGAAGCCAUUAAGCCCGCCGCCUGGGGAGUACGGCGCAAAGGCUGAACACUUAAAGGGAAUUGGCGGGGGAGCACCACAAGGGGUGAAGCUUGCGGUUUAAUUGGAGUCAACCGCCGGGAACCUUAACGGGGGCGACAGCAGAAUGAAAGCCAGAUUGAAGUCUAUGCUAGACGAGCUGAGAGGAGGUGCAUGGCCGUCGCCAGUUCGUGCCGAGAGGUGUCCUGUUAAGUCAAGCCAACGAUCGAGA
rnacentral:rRNA from 1 species